AAGGUGGUACCUGGCACAUGACCAGAGCAGGUGCUCAGUAAGUGUUUGUUGAACUGAACUUCACUGGUAAAAGCAUCCAAAGUGCACCUGGACCCUGAUGACACAGUAGUAACGCUGGCUUUAGAGGCCAAGAACUGCAAGAAUCAUAACUAAGUUGUGCUUUUUACCUUUGAGAUCUUUAAGGUGUGCAUGGUUCUAGGGGAAAAAUCAACCAGCAGUGGCUUGGAACACAAAUACACACUGAAAAGUCAUCACACUGGGUGGCUGUGAGGAGCCCGGUCCUCUUUACCAUGGCUUAGGAAGGCAGAAGGGACAGUCAGACCAUGGCCUUCGUGGUGCAAGGUGGACCUCACGGCUGAGCUGAUAUUCCAUGGCUGGUGUAUCAAUUGAAGCAUUUAUUGGGCAACCACCACAUGUCAGGCACCAGGUUACCUGAUGCAGCCGGCUCAGGAAGCAGCAGUGACAAGAACGAGACACUGGCAGCUCUGGGCA
rnacentral:lncRNA from 1 species